rnacentral:lncRNA from 1 species
CUCAAUUAAAAGUACACCUUGUAGUGAAAGGCUACGCACAAACAUGGCGUUAACUAUGCUGAUACUUUUUCUCGAGUAGUAAAAAUGACAUUUGUGAGGUUGUUUAUUUCACUAACUUCAAUCAGUCACUGGCCUUUACAUCAGCUUGAUAUUUUUGAAAAGGAGGUGUAAUUAUGAGUCAAUAAAAAGGACCUGAUCAUGUUGAGGAAGGAGACCCAACCUUGUCUGGUUUCUCAUGAGUAGAUGGAUGAAGGAUUGUAUUCCAGAGAAGUUUCGAGCAACACACCUCAGAAACCAAUCAGAUGGGGUUCAGAAUUUGGAUAGCUUUGUUGUUUCGGUUUCAUCACUCGCAUAUUUGUUGAAAAACUUCCAGUUUGGUUCUUUUACAAGAACAUCUAUUGAAUCAAUGAACCACUCUAAUUGGAUCUUGGAUAAAGUGAGGAUUUUUUUGGAAGUCUACAUCUUCAAUAUUGAACCUCCCCUUUUCGAACUAGAUACAGUAGAAAGUGUCUACCAUUUUUCAACUUUUGACUUCCAUUUCUGAAAAAGAUGGAGUUGUAACUCCCCGGGUUUGGCGUUGCCGUCGACGUCACCGUGAGA